CGUGUCGGCGGGACGGUUCCGCCCGGCGCUGUUCCAGGCGGCGCUGGACGCGGGCGCGACGGUCGUGCCGGUCUCGAUCCGGUACGG
rnacentral:tRNA from 1 species